rnacentral:rRNA from 1 species
GACGAACGCUGGCGGCGUGCUUAACACAUGCAAGUCGAGCGGUAAGGCCCUUUCGGGGGUACGACGAGCGGCGAACGGGUGAGUAACACGUGGGUGACCUGCCCUCAGCUCUGGGAUAAGCCUGGGAAACUGGGUCUAAUACUGGAUAUGACUCCACGGUGCAUGUCGUGGGGUGGAAAGCCUUGUGCGGCUGAGGAUGGGCCCGCGGCCUAUCAGCUUGUUGGUGGGGUGAGGCCUACCAAGGCGACGACGGGUAGCCGCCUGAGA